GAGGGUAUAGCUCAAAUGGUAGAGUGCAUGCCUAGCAUGCACAAGGUCCUGGGUUCAGUCCCUAGUACCUCCU
rnacentral:tRNA from 1 species